rnacentral:rRNA from 1 species
UACGUAGGGGGCAAGCGUUGUCCGGAUUUAUUGGGCGUAAAGAGCGUGUAGGCGGCUUGGUAGGUCCGCUGUGAAAACUCGAGGCUCAACCUCGGGCCUGCAGUGGGUACGGGCAGACUAGAGUGCGGUAGGGGAGAUUGGAAUUCCUGGUGUAGCGGUGGAAUGCGCAGAUAUCAGGAGGAACACCAAUGGCGAAGGCAGAUCUCUGGGCCGUAACUGACGCCGA